UUCUUUCAACUCCAUUGCAUUAACAGAGCUUAAUUCUACACUUCUCAACAAAACAACCUUUGAGACAUUCUACUUCAUUUUCCGUUCAUUUCUCUUCAUCUUUCGCAGCAACCAAACAACAACAAAACGAAUUUCAAAGAAAUCGAUUGAAAUUCAACAGACACACAGAUCUAAACGACCAAACACCAAAAACCCCAGAAUCGCUAAACAACAUCGUCACAUAACAAAGAAGGAUCAGAUUUGAAUUUGAUACCUUUAGCGAAGAAAAUAUCUGAGUAAACG
rnacentral:misc_RNA from 1 species